rnacentral:rRNA from 1 species
CUUCUGCUACGUCCCCGUAGCGAGAGAGAGGUGGGAAUCCUCUCGGCCGAAUAUCCAAGGUUUCCAGGGUAAAGCUGAUCUGCCCUGGGUAAGUCGGGGCCUAAGGAGAGGCAGAAAUGCGUAUCCGAUGGACAGCAGGUUGAGAUUCCUGCACUAUCUUAAAACAGAACUGUGGGGACAUUUGUGGAGAACACAGGCGCGGAACGGAAAGCCGCGUGCAAGCGAAGGAGGAGUCACAUAGGAAAAACCGUGUGGCAAUCCAAAGGCGUGAUGCGGACCGAACUAAAGUAGGGAAGUGUGUGAGCCAUGAAUCAAGAAAAGCCGCUAUUGUUUUUAAGAUACCCGUACCGUAAACCGACACAGGUGGAUGAGGAGAGAAUCCUAAGGCCGGCGGAAGAAGCAUUGUUAAGGAACUCGGCAAAAUGACCCCGUAACUUCGGGAGAAGGGGUGCCAACGAGAGUUGGCCGCAGAGAAUAGGCUCAAGCAACUGUUUAGCAAAAACACAGGUCUAUGCAAAACCGUAAGGUGAGGUAUAUGGGCUGACGCCUGCCCGGUGCUGGAAGGUUAAGAGGAGAGGUUAGCGCAAGCGAAGCUUUGAAUUUAAGCCCCAGUAAAUGGCGGCCGUAACGAUAACGGUCCUAAGGUAGCGAAAUUCCUUGUCGGGUAAGUUCCGACCCGCACGAAAGGCGUAAUGAUUUGAGCGCUGUCUCGACAAUGCAUCCGGUGAAAUUGAAGUACCAGUGAAGAUGCUGGUUACCCGCGCCAGGACGGAAAGACCCCAUGGAGCUUUACUCCAGUUUGGUACUGGGGUCCGGCAGUGCAUGUACAGGAUAGGUGGGAGGCUGAGAACCUGGAACGCCAGUUUCAGGGGAGCCAUUGUUGGGAUACCACCCUUGUGCUGCUGGGCUUCUAACCAGCGGCCUUCAUCAGGCCGGGGGACAAUGCCAGACGGGGAGUUUGACUGGGGCGGUCGCCUCCGAAAGGGUAUCGGAGGCGCUCAAAGGUUCCCUCAGAAUGGUCGGAAACCAUUCGAAGAGUGCAAAGGCAGAAGGGAGCUUGACUGCGACACCGAGGGGUGGAGCAGGUACGAAAGUAGGACUUAGUGAUCCGGUGGUAUUAAGUGGGAAUGCCAUCGCUCAACGGAUAAAAGCUACCCUGGGAUAACAGGCUUAUCACUCCCAAGAGUUCACAUCGACGGAGUGGUUUGGCACCUCGAUGUCGGCUCAUCGCAUCCUGGGGCUGUAGUAGGUCCCAAGGGUUGGGCUGUUCGCCCAUUAAAGCGGUACGCGAGCUGGGUUCAGAACGUCGUGAGACAGUUCGGUCCCUAUCCGGCGUGGGCGUAGGAUAUUUGAGAGGAGCUGUCCUUAGUACGAGAGGACCGGGAUGGACUGACCUCUGGUGUACCGGUUGAACCGCCAGGUUCACGGCCGGGUAGCCAAGUCGGGAAGGGAUAAACGCUGAAGGCAUCUAAGCGUGAAGCCCCCCUCAAGAUGAGAUGUCCCAUUCGAAAGAAGUAAGACCCCUUGAAGACGACGAGGUAGAUAGGGCAGAGGUGGAAGUGCCGUAAGGCAUGGAGCUGACUGUUACUAAUCGGUCGAGGGCUUGACC